AGCUCCACUUUCCACCACGUGAGGAUACUAGGAGAAGUCAUCAGUCUGUGACCUGGAAGAGGGCCCUCACCUGAACCUGACCAUGCCGGCACCCAGAUCUCAAACUUCCAGCCUCCAGAAUGAUUUGGUGAAUGGGUAACAAAGCACAGAAGUACCUCUACCAUGAUGUCUGCCAUCUGGCCCCUAGGCCCUUUUUACCUUGUGGGUGAAGUGACCUGGGCAAAAAAUAUUCCGGAUGUACACUGACCACCAACCAAGGCCUGACAUCUAGGCCCUACGCUAGCGUGGACACUCCUUGGAGGCCUAUCACAAGGGGCAAGUUUCAGAGAGUGGAAUUUCCUGGGUGUGGUAUUUACUCAAAGAAGCCAGAAACAGCAAAAAGAAAGGGUCCCUGUUGCAGGUUGGUUCCCAGCCAUAUGGAACUUCUUUCAGCUCUUCAGCAGCCAGGCUGUCUCUUGCCUCUGAGUGUUUGCGCUCUGCCUGAAAUUUCCUUCGUUAUCACUUCUUCAUCUGUGAAAACUCCAACUCACCCCGCAGACUUCUGCUUAAUCAUCACUGCCUCUGGUAGGCCCCCUUCCACUGCAGCCUGUCCCCCCAGCCCAAAUUAGGUGCUUCCAAUGCUCCAGGAGGACACAU